rnacentral:misc_RNA from 1 species
AAGUCGUAACAAGGUUUCCGUAGGUGAACCUGCGGAAGGAUCAUUAAAGAAUGCCCCGUUUUUGAAAUGGGUUCUAUUCCCAAACCGUGUAUACAUACCUUUGUUGCUUUGGCAGGCCGCCUUCGGGCGUCGGCUCACGCUGACCGCGCCUGCCAGAGGACCCAAACUCUUUGUUUAGUGAUGUCUGAGUAUUAUAUAAUAGUUAAAA